rnacentral:lncRNA from 1 species
AUGUGGAGUAGAUUUGCAAUAGAAUCUUGAGUACUAGCAGGGACGUUCUUACCAAAUAAAAUAGCAGACUUCUGAAAAUUUACAUGUUGCCCAGAUGCUUCUGCAUAUGUGUUAAGUAUAUCAAGGAUUUGCUGACAUUCCUCGAGAUUAGCCUGACAAAAAAGUAAAGAGUCGUCAGCGAAAAGCAUAUGUGAGAUAGGAGGACCAUUUCUACUUGCUU